rnacentral:rRNA from 1 species
UACGGAGGGAGCUAGCGUUGUUCGGAAUUACUGGGCGUAAAGCGCACGUAGGCGGCUUUGUAAGUUAGAGGUGAAAGCCCGGGGCUCAACUCCGGAACUGCCUUUAAGACUGCAUCGCUUGAAUCCAGGAGAGGUGAGUGGAACUGCGAGUGUAGAGGUGAAAUUCGUAGAUAUUCGCAAGAACACCAGUGGCGAAGGCGGCUCACUGGCCCGGUACUGACGCUGAGGCACGAAAGCGUGGGGAGUGAACAGG